rnacentral:lncRNA from 1 species
AUGUUAAGGCAACUGCUGUUCAAGAAUUUUAUCCACUUUAAAGAAUUUCAAUUGUUGACUUUUGAGAAUUGUUCACAUUUUUUCAUUGGGGCUAAUUCUUCAGGAAAAACAAGUGCAUUAGAAAUACUCAAAAUAUGCAUGUCAACCGAUAUCAACACUUCGAUAUCAUCAUCAUAUGACGAAAUAAAAAUGAUUAUGCUUUUUGUAAAUUUGAUGUACCAUCUUUUACAAAAAUAAAAAAAAACUUUAAAAACAUAACCAGCGUCUACUCCAGUGUAAUUAAGACAACAGAUACAAGUUAUGUCAAAAUAAUAUGCCUCAAAAAGCAGA